AUCCCACCCAGUGAAAUAGACCGGCUCUACAGCCACUAGUCACCAGUUCGUCAAGUCACCUUCAGUGUCCACCACCUGUUUUCAAGACACUGACUACCUGCUCAGAGCUGUGUUCGGGAACACGCUGCACUCCAGCUCUCCAUUGUGUACAGGAAACUUCUCACCGGUCUACCCACUUCCCACCCGUGACUCCUCAGUUCUCCUGCUUGCUCACUUUGGCUUUUUUUUUUGAAUAAAUACACCUGAAUUAACUGUC